rnacentral:rRNA from 1 species
AUAACCCUUUGUGAACAUACCUACAACUGUUGCUUCGGCGGGUAGGCCGUCCCCUGAAAAGGACGCCUCCCGGCCCGGACCGGACCCCCCGCGGGACCGGACCCGGCGCCCGCCGGAGGAUAACCAAACUCUAUUGUAACGACGUUUCUUCUGAGUGGCAUAAGCAAAAUAAUCAAAACUUUUAACAACGGAUCUCUUGGUUCUGGCAUCGAUGAAGAACGCAGCGAAAUGCGAUAAGUAAUGUGAAUUGCAGAAUUCAGUGAAUCAUCGAAUCUUUGAACGCACAUUGCGCCCGCCAGCAUUCUGGCGGGCAUGCCUGUUCGAGCGUCAUUUCAACCCUCAAGCUCUGCUUGGUGUUGGGGCUCUACGGUCGACGUAGGCCCUCAAAGGUAGUGGCGGACCCUCCCGGAGCCUCCUUUGCGUAGUAACAUUUCGUCUCGCACUGGGAUCCGGAGGGACUCUUGCCGUAAAACCCCCCAAUUUUCCAAAGGUUGACCUCGGAUCAGGUAGGAAUACCCGCUGAACUUAA